UGCACUCGUUCUUAGGGAACCGAUAUGUUUAACGGAAAUCAUUCUAUCACUUCUCUCCAUUGUUCUCACUUUCCCUCUUCCAACCUUUGGCAGACAUCCAUGUUCCGCAUCUUGAAUUUUUGCUGGUCAGUGAGAUCUCCGUAUGUUGUUCUACACAAGUGCAGCUUCAUGGCGGAAGAUCGAUCUCUUGUUUCUAGCUAAGCUUUUUGUUCUCUUCCAGAAUGCGUAGCAAGAACUGGAUACCCAGAUCUACAUUCCAUCUCAGGCUAGAUUCCUUUGGCUUCUCUUACUUGUUAGUUCAUGAAUCUCUUAUUUCUCUAUAUAUUCUUGGCAUGGAUUCGAGUUCUUUGCUUCAGAUCUUACUCGGGUAUACAUGACUGGAUCCAUAGCUACUGCUCUCAUUCAUCCUUGGAGUUUUAUGCUCUCUCUCUCCUCUUAUCUCCUAACUAUACUCAGAUGUAGCUAUAUGUUAAUCAGUCAUCUUUUCUUACCAUUUUAUGAGUUUGAUUGCUGGUUUAAUCUCGAAUGGUUUCAUGCGUUGAAUGGCCUGUUUACUCAGCUGAUCAUUUGAGCUCCAAAACAAAAACUCAUUAAUUAGUUUGCAUCUUAUACUUUGGCUGUUGCACUUUAUCCUACACAUCUUGAAUUUGCUUUGGGUUCUUUUAACUGAAAUGAAUUUGAGGUUAAUAUCUUAUGAUCAUUUUCUUUUUUUUUAGCCAUUUGUGAGGUUUACAACUUUUUAAUGUCACUUACUAUCGAUUCAUCUCUACAGCUGGGAAGAAUAUUUUGAAGUUUGUAUAUAAAUAAAACAUUAGUUGUUUUAUCAAAGGAGAAGAAGUGAUCGGUCAUUAGACAUUAACUGCAAAGGAAAAUGAUUAAUGUCGAUGGAGUUUAUCUCAAACUCUCGAUCACACACACAUAUGGGAUACAACCAUAUGAUCGGUAAACUUGAACUCAACGUGUCUCGUUGCAUGGAUAUUGUCCUUCCUUAUCUGUGCCAGUUCUCUUCUCUGUUACCCUACCCUUGACGUGUGGACAUGCGCCAUAAGUUCCCUGUAUACACUACAACUUGAAACUUGUUGAACUUUGUAUACGCUGCUCAGGUUUUAUCACAACAGAAGGAUCGUGGACAGAUUUGUAGAGACUUUAUCGUGAAAGGAUAAUUUUAUUCAUUGAGCUAAAUGUAUAUUUAUACGGGUUUGAUCGAGAGAUUUUUUUUAAUCAUGUGCUCAAAUCAUGCACAUAUAUAUUAGUGAUUGAUUCUCAAAUCAUAUAUCAAUUAAGGAUUAGAGUAGGUAAAGAAUAUAAAGUUAUCAUUUCAUAUUUGUCUCUAUUAUGAUCUUUUAUCAUGCCCUUAUAAGAUUUAGUUUUCAUUAAGGAUGCUAAUCUUAAAUCGAUACAACUGAAAUAUUCUACGAGCAAGAUGCUUUGUGAGAGACUCAGUUAGCUUGUUAGAAGUAUGAACAUGCGAAACACAUAGUUGAUGUCUCAUAACUUGAUCUCUAACAAAGUGAAAGUCGGUAAUGUGUUUCAUACGAGAGUAGAAUACCAGGUUAGAGCAUAGGUAGGUGGCAUCAAUAUUAUUGCAAUACAUUAUAUGAGUGGAUUGAGAGAUGAUGCCAAGUUCGUGUAGCAGAUUGAUGACCUAAUUGAGUUUUGAAGUAACGUAAGCUCGGUAUUCAGCUUUAGUGGUGGAUCUUAUGAUUGUGUUCUAUUUUUUGAAACUCCAACUAAUCAAAUUUGCUCUAAGAAAAACAAUAUAGGCUAAUGUAGAUAUUCUAUUAUCAAUGUUACUUGCCUAAUUAACAUCGGCAAAGACAUAAAGUUGAAGUGAUGAGUGUUUACGAAGAAGUCCAUAAUUGAGUUUUUUUAUGAUAUCACAAGAUACAUUUUAAUGUAAACCAAUGCACAGUGGAUGAUCGAUGCAUGAAUUAUGAUAAUUUAUUGAUUGUAAAUGAAAUGUCUAUACAUGUUAGAGAUAAAUACUACAUGGAACCAAGUACUUGUCGGUACUAUGUAGGUUCUGUAGUAGAGCUAUCGUCAUAUAAUUUGAGUAAUCUAAUAAUAGAGAGUGGGAUGGUUAUUUCUGUGAUAGUCUACAUGUUCGUCUUUGAUAAUAGAUGUUGAAUGUAUUUCUUUUGAGAUAAAAAAAUCGAAAAGAUGGAAAUAUUGUUUCUACUCUCACAAAAUAUCUUAAGAUUCCUAAGCCUUUGAAGUAUUAAUCUAUCAACUGCUUAAGGAAUCUUUUAAUUUUUACGAAAGUAUUACUUGUGAUAAUAAUGUUACCCACAUAAAUCAGUAGAUAUAAAGUAUAUUUUUGUUAUCAUAGAAAUAAAGAAGUGUCAAAUUUGGAGUUGAUGGAGUCGGUUAACAUAAAAAAUGAGCCAAGUUUUAUAUAUUUAGCUCUUGGAACUUGGUAAAGUUCAUAAAUAGUUUUUUGUAAUUUACAAACAUGGUUUGGAUAUUAAGGGUGGAUAAAGCUAUGAGGUUGCUGCAUAAAGACAUUUUCAAUUAAGGUCUUAUGUAAGAAAGCAUUGUUAAUAUUUAGUUGAUAUACAUGCUAACCUUAAGUAAUAAACAAACUCAGGAUGAGUCGAAUUGUCAUCGAUUUUACAACUAAACUGAAGGUCUUUAUGAAAUCAACACCUUAUCAUUGAUGAAACCAUUUGGCCAUUAGAUAUGUUUUGUAUCUAGUAAUGUAUCAAUAGUUUCAUUUAAUUUGAAAGAUUCAUUUACACUUGAUGACAUUUUAUGUGAAGUGAGAUGGUACAAUGGUUCAUAUGACAUUAUGGAACAAGAUAUUGUAUUUCUCACACAUGGCCUUGCACUAGUGUGGAGAUUUUCAGGUGAUGCUUGUGGGUUCAAUAGGGUCAGAUGGAGAAAUUGUGGUAGCGUAAAGAUCAAAGAUUUGGUGUAGUUUAAAGAUGUCAUUUUAGAAGUGUAUUGGCAUGUAAUGUCUGGGCUCAAUGGUGUUAUUGGGUUGUGUUGAUGAUAUACGAAUUGAUGAAGAGUUAGUGACACGUACCUAAUAAGGAUGAUGCACUUUGGUGUCACUUGGCCGAGGAGAAGACAAAGACAUCAUUUGUGGAAAAUAUUAUGUUCACUGGAGUGUUUGAUGAAAAUACAAGGUUUAUAUCUUUGUGUUGACUCGUAAGAAACAUAUGGGCGUAGCCAAAGAUAACAUAAACAACCAAAUAUUUUAAGUUUUUGAAAAUUUGGGUUUUGUGAAAUAGUUUUUCAAAUAGUAACUAGUGUUGUAGGAUUGGAAUGAGCAUGCGGUUAAUGAGGUAGAUCGCAGUUUAAAUGUUGCUUACUAAAAGAAUAUUCGCUCAAGAGAUGGAAUUCAACAUCAUCUCGAUCCUAGAGAUCGCCUUCGGCAAUCGAAGGCUAGUAGUGAGGUCAUUGGCGAAGUCGUUCUUGCGUAAGAGCGAUAGCUUCCGGUGCUUCUUCACAUUGUACGAGAGAUUGAUGAUGACAAGGAUGAAAGGGAUGGAGGCGAAAGGCCAAGUGGUCAUCGAUGCCACCUCUGGUAGCGAGUCAUCGAGCUUGAGGACGUGGUGCUUCGGGGAGGUGUAGCCAUCGCUCUUAUCGACAUCGCAGUUGUGAUCAUCGUCGAUGCACUUGAAGAGCUGGUCGAGGCUAAUGAACUUUUAGUCGUUGCUACCGAAGUCUUGCUUGACAUUAGCUCGAGGGCUAUUGUGGCCAAGCAGGUUGUCAUGAUCGAUGUCCUUGACCUUUGCCAUCGGGAAGGAUCAUCGAUCGAACAAGGAUAUCUUAUCCAUGAACCGGGGCAUGGUAUUGCUUCACUAUCUCCUUUUAUCUUAUUGGGGUCUCUUGUUGGUCGUCAAUGCCGGUGGGUGCUGGAGCUGAUGGCAGUUGAGUUGUUGUCUGCAGCUAAGAUGGUAGUGUCGUCUGUUAAACUAGCUAGGGCAAGAGCGAAAUAACAACUUGCAUCAUGCCCAUUAGCGUAUGCACCUAUCAUGUGAGGUUUAGGAACACCUUAGUGAGGAUGAGCAGGUGGCUCGGGUCAAUCUUGCUUUCUUCAUUCAGGUGAUCUCACGGUUGGAACCAACGGUGAUCACUCCUAUCGUAGCCUCUUGCGCGUCUCCUUGCACUUACUUGAGACCAUCGCCUCAGUUGCUUAUGUAUUGGUUGGUCCUUCGGAGGACCUCAGGUAUAGUCACCGAUGGCCUCUCCACCAAUAGUAAAAAAAAAGCAAGAGGACUUGAGCUCCAUCAUGAAGGCUUGAAUCACGAGUGAUGGAUGAGCUUCUUGCACACCUCAGAUUUCGUUGGUGAACCGAACGACAAACUCAGAGAGUGUCUCUUCCUCCCCUUGCCCGAGUCCGAGCAGCAUUAUCACCGAUGGUCUUGAGCGCAUAUUCCUAAGGUGAUAUAUGCGAGAUGAUGAUUCCACGUUAUAAUGUGUCAUCUAACUCCAUCCACUGCUAGGUCAGACUAUGAGACCAAUUCUCAUGGUCCAUAGGAUAAUUGACCUAUUAAUUUUAUUGAGUUUGAAUCAUUAAUUAAAAAUAAUUAAAUUAAAAUUAAAUAAUAAGACACUCAAUAUAUCCAUUAUAAGUUAAUUUAGGUCUUAGUUCACUUCUCACACGGACUAAACCGGAAUUUUACAGCAUGUGUAGAAUUUUCAUGAUCUUUCACUAUCACUAAUAUCUCACUUAUUUUCUUAAUUUAAUAUACGCUUAUCAUUUAAGUUGGAUUUUCUUUUUCUCCUCAAAUGUUUUUGAUUCGUUUUCAAUUACCCUAAAAGCAACCCCCAUCCUCCCGUUUUGGCAACGGAGUUGGUUCUUCGUUUACCUCCUCGCGAUGGCGCUCUCCGUGCUCUUCGCCCUCUUGGCCCUCCUCCUCCUCAGCCUCGUCGAGGGCUCUUGCCAUCCCGCCUCCGCCAAUGUCGUCGAGGUCUCUGCUGACGAACCCCAUGUCUCGAUAUCUAUAAUGGCUUCUUGAUUUUGCUUCACUAAUUUCUUUGUUCAUUUUGUUGGGGCAGAUUACUUAAGGGUCUGUUAUCAAAUUGAUGCACGAGAAGGCGAAGUGCCGGUUGCACUCGCACGAUGUGCCAUAUGGAUCAGGGAGCGGGCAGCAGUCGGUCACUGGAUCUCCCGAUGUGGAUGAUUCCAAUAGUUGUUGGGUGAUCUCCCGUGCGAACCUUAUGCCGUCUGUUUAUUAGCAUGUUUUAGCCCUUUUUUGCCCACAAGAGGUAGUGGACUAUAGGAUGAAAAAACUGAGUGAUCUUUAGCUGAAAAUUGCCUACAUACAUAAGGCUUAGGUUAAAAAGUGGAAAGCCAUGGAAUAUGAGUUGUCCAAUCAUGUGCAUCUUAGUUAUGCUUGCUAAUUUUGGCAUAUCUUAUAGUAGUACUGGUGUUCUUUGAUUUAUCAAAAAGUUCUCAAGCAUCUUGUAUUUGUUAUUUGUGAAUGACAGCCUCUUGAAGUCUGCAUUACUGGUAAACUUUGAUCCAAACUAUAACUUACUGAAAGGAAUUGUGUCACUUCACAUUACUCCUAACAAGAAAAGAAAGAAUGACAAACGUGUUUAGUAGUUAGAAGUUGAUCUUGGAUCCUACCCAUUGAAGUUGAGUACUAAGAAGUGAAUGCAUUUUGGAAUUUUACUUGGGAAUUUAUUUUUUCUGGGGAUCCAUAUUGUGGAUGUAACCCACUUGAAAUGUACUUCAGUCUAGUACAUCUGUUUUGUUGCAUAACCUAUCCCUGUAUGGCUGAUAAUCUAUGCUUUAGUGAAAAUUUCAGCAUUUUUUAUCGCCACUUCUCUACAUAGUUAGGUGGGACUCCUCUUGAAUACAGACAAGGGAACCAUUCUGUUUGGUUCUCGAUAUUUUGACCUGCUAAAACAUGCCUGUUACCCCCAACUUAAGCUAUGGGAUACUAGCAUCCAUUUUGAGUUGUUCCCUUGCAAGGGUAGGUUCUUAUGUAUUACUCACCUGACUUUCACUGCAAAACACAAUUCGUAUCCAACUUGUUGAUGGAUUCUCAACUGCAGAGGAGGAGGAGAGGCGGUGGUGGUGGUGGAAGGAGACAGAGAGGAGCAGGCAGAGGAAAGGGAGGAGAGAGAGAGAGAGAGGAAAAAACAUAAGACUGCUGUUAACUACUUGUAGAAAAGAGAAAAGUGGACCCGGUAUCUGGUAUGCUAAGCUUACCGUGGUAAAAACUCAGUUUUGGGCCACACAGUGCAAUUUAAACCAUGGAUCAUACUCAUUUUAUGGUGGAAUGCUUGAAACAAUGUUAGAUAGACACAAUAUUUCUUACAAAGGUCUAAUUUUUGCACUUGUAUUGCAGCAAAGAAGUAACUAGGAUUUAGGGUUGCUUCAGUUACUCUUAUUGUUGUGAAGAAUGUUGGAUCUUUGCAAGUGAAUUUCCUUGUGCAAUUUCUCAAAAUCAAGGUUGUGUGUCCUUUUCUUCUGCUGAAUCAGUGAUUCAUUUCCACUCUAUGAUCAUGAUGAUAUGUCAUCGUAAUUAAAAUGGUUAUUUGUUCCUCCUUUGACAUAUAGCAUGUCAUUUGAUGCAUGUGAAAUUUAAUAAAGAAAAUGAAUAUCUUUUAGGCUUCCUGAUUUCCCUCAAUCUGGUUCCUCUGUUUUGCAGUGUUUUUGUUCUUAUUCUUUCUUCUUCUCUCUUUCUGCUGUUAAUUUCUUUUCAGAAAUUAGUGCAUUAGAUGUUUCAUUGAUCAUCAAAACAUGAUUGUUAAGCAUGCCAAGUGAGUGCUGUAUAAGAUCUUGAUGAGGAAGAGGCAUGAAAGCCUUGUUUAGGGUUCUAGUGCUGCUUUGCAUAUGCUGCUUGUUCAAGUAAUUUUUCACAACCUAGAUGGUGCACAAAGUUGUGCUUGUAAGUAUGGAAUAGUGUUUUUUGCAAUUUCUUUCGAUCCUUACUGAUUUGCUGUGUAUGCUUUGCCUGUAGGUAAGUUGCUUUGGCGGGGAUGACCAAUCAGAUACUGGUGUGCUUGAAGUCAGUCAUUUUCCAUCUUAUGUUUACUAAGUUGAUUUAUAUAUGGCUUUCUUGUUCAGUCUUGAGAUCGAGGCCAGUGGGAAAACACGAUGGACCAAGAGAGUAAGUUGAUACAGGUGGUUACCUACACAGGCAUGACAAAAGUUACAUUCUCCUUUUUACUUUAAGUUCAUAACUGCUUGUUCAAGUAAUUUUUCACAACCUAGAUGGUGCACAAAGUUGUGCUUCUAUGGAAUAGUGUUCUUUGCAAAUUUUUUCGAUCCUUACUGAUUUGCUGUGUAUGCUUUGCCUGUAGGUAAGCUGCUUUGGCGGGGAUGACGGAUCAGAUACUGGUCAUUUUUGGCGGUGAGAGCUGCAAGCUGCUUGAAGUCAGUAAUUUUCCAUCUUAUGUUUACUAAGUUGAUUUAUAUAUGGCUUUCUUGUUCAGUCUUGAGAUUGAGGGCAGU
rnacentral:lncRNA from 1 species